AUGCUAGCAAGAUGGGCAACAUAUCUUGAGAGGUUUAACUAUCUCAUCGUGCAUAAAUCUGGAAUAACUAACAGAGUGGCCGAUGCUUUGAGUCGUCGUGCAUGCCUCUUGACUUCUUUUGAAGCCGAACUUCCGGCCAUGGGUCAAAUAAAGGAGUUGUAUGAGGGUGACGAAGACUUUGGCCAUGUUUGGGUAAAGCACGCAAGGGGCCAACCAUUAGGUGAUGACUAUUUGAUGCAAGAUGGAUAUCUCUUCAAAAAUGAUCGUUUGUGCAUUCCAAGAAGUUCUCUACGUGACAAGCUGGUCAGAGAGCUCCAUUCAAGUGAUCUUAGUGGCCAUGUUGGACGGGACAAGACUAUCGCUAACCUGGAAGCUCGCUACUUUUGGCCACAACUAAAGAGAGAUGCUGGAAAGUUCGUUCAACGGUGCCCCGUAUGUCAGACCUGCAGAGGCCAAGUCCAGAACACAGGGUUAUACAUGCCUUUGCCUGUUCCUGUUGCUCCAUGGGAGGACAUUUCUAUGGACUUCGUCUUGGGCUUGCCAAGAACAAGACGAGGAAGUGAUGCUGUAUUUGUGGUCGUGGAUAGAUUCUCUAAGAUGGCUCAUUUCAUCCCAUGCCGCAAGACAACGGAUGCUCAUCAUGUGGCAAACCUAUUCUUUCGAGAAGUGGUUAGACUUCAUGGAGUUCCAAGGUCCAUUGUCUCAGACCGUGAUAGCAAGUUUCUUGCUGCAUUUUGGCUCACUUUGUGGAAGCAAUUCAACACUGAAUUGAAAUUUUCUAGCACUGCUCAUCCACAAACAGAUGGACAAACGGAAGUGGUGAACAAGUUUUUGGGUAAUCUGAUCCAUUGCAUUUGUGCAGAAAGAAAGGGGCAAUGGGAUUUGGCUUUAUCUCUUGCAGAGUUCUCCUACAAUAACUCCAAGCAUAGAUCCACAGGAAGGAGCCCUUUUUCCAUUGUCUACACUAAAGUUCCAACACAUGUGGUGGACCUGGUGAAGCUGCCAUCAAGGGGAAACUCAAAAUCAUCAUUGUCCUUUGCUGAUAAUUACACCGAGUUAUUUGAAGAGAUUCGCGGCGCUUUGGAAGCACAAAAUCAGAAAUAUAAACAACUAGCUGAUUGCAAAAAGAGGCCAAAAUCAUUCCAAGUCGGUGAUAAGGUGAUGGUCUACCUCCGAAAAGAGAGGCUGCCUUUAGGUGUUAAAGGAAAAGUUAGGUAG
rnacentral:rRNA from 1 species